CAGAGGGGGCAAGCGUUGUUCGGAAUUACUGGGCGUAAAGGGCGCGUAGGCGGCCUGCUAAGUCGAACGUGAAAUCCCCGGGCUCAACCCGGGAACUGCGUCCGAUACUGGCAGGCUUGAAUUCGGGAGAGGGAUGCGGAAUUCCAGGUGUAGCGGUGAAAUGCGUAGAUAUCUGGAGGAACACCGGUGGCGAAGGCGGCAUCCUGGACCGAGAUUGACGCUGAUGCGCGAAAGCCAGGGGAGCAAACGGGAUUAGAUACCCCGGUAGUCCUGGCCCUAAACGAUGAAUGCUUGGUGUGGCGGGUAUCGAUCCCUGCCGUGCCGAAGCUAACGCAUUAAGCAUUCCGCCUGGGGAGUACGGUCGCAAGGCUG
rnacentral:rRNA from 1 species